rnacentral:rRNA from 1 species
GGAGCUUGCUCUGUGGGAUCAGUGGCGAACGGGUGAGUAACACUUGAGCAACCUGCCCCUGACUCUGGGAUAAGCGCUGGAAACGGCGUCUAAUACUGGAUACGAGUAGCGGCCGCAUGGUCAGUUACUGGAAAGAUUUAUUGGUUGGGGAUGGGCUCGCGGCCUAUCAGCUUGUUGGUGAGGUAAUGGCUCACCAAGGCGUCGACGGGUAGCCGGCCUGAGAGGGUGACCGGCCACACUGGGACUGAGACACGGCCCAGACUCCUACGGGAGGCAGCAGUGGGGAAUAUUGCACAAUGGGCGGAAGCCUGAUGCAGCAACGCCGCGUGAGGGAUGACGGCCUUCGGGUUGUAAACCUCUUUUAGCAGGGAAGAAGCGAAAGUGACGGUACCUGCAGAAAAAGCACCGGCUAACUACGUGCCAGCAGCCGCGGUAAUACGUAGGGUGCAAGCGUUAUCCGGAAUUAUUGGGCGUAAAGAGCUCGUAGGCGGUUUGUCGCG